rnacentral:lncRNA from 1 species
GUUGUUCAGUACUUUCGUGAUAAUAAAACAAGCAGACAUUGAUUUUGCCAAGAUUGAAGGAAAGAAUCUGGCCAUAAGCGUUGUGGAUUCUCAGCGUUAUUCGAAUGUAAGUGGAUCGGGUUCUACUAGUUAUUCGGAAUGUUUCGAAUCAUCACAGAAGACGUGUCGGGUUCAACUCUCCUAUAUCAACAUACUCUUCUCCAGACGCUUAAUUCAGAUUCAGGAAACAGAUGAUUUGUAAAAAAAACGGUUGAUGAAACCGAAGCUGUUAUUUCUGUUGUUCAGUACUUCCG